GGUUUUUUUGUCUUUUAAGGAAUAAAAUCUAACAAGUUCGUAGGGAACCUGCGGAAGGAUCAUUACCGAGUGCGAGCCCUCUGGGCUCAACCUCCCACCCGCUGCCGGUUAUAAUACCUGUUGCUUUGGCGGGCCCACUGGGGUCACCUGGUCGCUGGGGGACGCCUGUCCCCGGGCCCGCCGCCCGCCGAAGCACCCCCUGAACUCUGAAGAAGAUAGGGGCUGUCUGAGUACCUAGAAAAUUGUCAAAACUUUCAACCAAUGGAUCUCUUGGUUUCCGGCAUCGAUGAAGAACGCAGCGAAAUGCGAUAAGUAAUGUGAAUUGCAGAAUUCCGUGAAUCAUCGAAUCUUUGAACGCACAUUGCGCCCCCUGGCAUUCCGGGGGGCAUGCCUGUCCGAGCGUCAUUUCUGCCCUCAAGCACGGCUUGUGUGUUGGGUGUGGUCCCCCCGGGGACCUGCCCCAAAGGCAGCGGCGACGCCCGUCGGGUCCUCGAGCGCAUGGGGCUUUGUCACUUGCUCGGGAGGGACCUGCGGGGGUUGGUCACCACCAAAUCUUUUACGGUUGACCUCGGAUCAGGUAGGAGUUACCCGCUGAACUUAAGCAUAUCAAUAAGCGGAGGAAAAGAAACCAACCGGGAUUGCCUCAGUAACGGCGAGUGAAGCGGCAAGAGCUCAAAUUUGAAAUCUGGCCCCUCCGGGGUCCGAGUUGUAAUUUGCAGAGGAUGCUUCGGGAGCGGUCCCCGUCUAAGUGCCCUGGAACGGGCCGUCAUAGAGGGUGAGAAUCCCGUCUGGGAUGGGCGGCCGCGCCCGUGUGAAGCGCCUUCGACGAGUCGAGUUGUUUGGGAAUGCAGCUCUAAGUGGGUGGUAAAUUUCAUCUAAAGCUAAAUACUGGCCGGAGACCGAUAGCGCACAAGUAGAGUGAUCGAAAGAUGAAAAAGCACUUUGAAAAAGAGAGUUAAAACAGCACGUGAAAUUGUUGAAAGGGAAGCGUUGUCCACCAGACUCGCCCGGGGGGGUUCAGCCGGCACUCGUGCCGGUGUACUCUCCCCCGGGCGGGCCAGCAUCGGUUUGGGCGGCUGGUGAAAGGCCCCGGGAAUGUAACACCCUCCGGGGUGCCUUAUAGCCCGGGGUGUCAUGCGGCCAGCCUGGACCGAGGCCCGCGCUCGCGAGAUGCUGCAAUGAUGGGGUCACGCCCCCUUUAAAAAGGAAA
rnacentral:rRNA from 1 species